GCUGAAGGGGGUGCAAAGGACACGUGUUGGGAAGUCUGGAAGACGCUGAAUCCCAAGUCUUUGCAAAUUCAGAAGUUGCGCGGGUGUCUCUUAAGGAAACGUGUCAGUGCUUCUCUUUAUGGGCACUACGUAUCCCAGAACGUGCAUUGUUAACUAGUACUUGGAGUAACUGGGUUAGUUAUGGAAACUACAGCCGCUGUCAAUUUGCAAGCAUCACCAAAGAAGAGAGCAUCUUGAAGAACCCAAAGUGAAAAGUAAAAAAACUGAAUCUCAUCUUGUACUGUUAAAGAGGAGAGGGGUCAAAACAGGCAACAGUCAGAGUGGCUGUCUUCAGACAAGAGGAGAUCCAGCUUGCUGUUGCACACAGUUUUGUUUGCUCUGAGACUAAUGUAGGAGUAUGUGUGGUGUUGUAUUUCUCAGAGUUCUUAAAUCAGGAGAAUGUAAAUGAAGUCAAGCUUGCCAAGUAUUGUGUGCUAAAUUUACACCACAAGUCUUUAAAAUGUAUGUAUUUAGGGUGUAUGUAGGUUUCUGACCAGGAAGACUGGUGCAUUUUUUUGUAUUGCACUGUUUUUAUGGCUUCUUAUGUUAUUGAUAAUCCUUUUUAAAUAAAGUUUGUUAAACUUUUUAAAACAUUAACAAACAUUAUUUAUAUAACUUUACACAAUGAUGAGUUUUAUAUUGAUAUACCUAGUGGUGCAUUAUUUUUACAAAUAAAAACAUACUUGAGUAUG